rnacentral:tRNA from 1 species
GGGAGCAUGGGGUAAUCAGGCUAUCCUAGCGGGCUCCAGACCCGUAGAUCUGGGUUCAAAUCCCAGUGCUCCCA